AAUCAUAUUUGUUCGUAACUUAACAUGUUCAAAUGUUUAAAAAUCGAUUUAGUUUUAAAAGGAAUGAUAGUUGACGGUUUGUCCCCCGAUUUUCGCUGGGUGCAAUAUGCGCGCGCAUCCUCAGCGGGCUUAGGCGACACCACCAACAGUAAUCGCGGAGGAGAGCGAGCAGAGCUAUUAAUAAAGUGGGUAUAUUAUGCUUUUUGAAAAUAAAAUAACUUUUGCGAUAAAUUAGUUGUGUAAACCUGAAUUAUGUGCUCGGCUUAUUAACAUGUAGCUYAAUUACAAACAUGCUCGGACUUAUCCGAUCCCCUGCAGCCGCUGGCUCUUCUCGCCCGCUUUGUCAUCGGGUGCGGCUCGUUAAGGCUCGUUAAGCCGAGAGAGAACGACCGUCUCCCGGCACAUUGCUUUCAAACUCCCGCUGGCUUUCGGCAACUAGUUAAAAGCAAAAAUAACACUAUCUAAUGUUUGCUAAUUUUAUUAGUUACUAUUAAUUACAAAUACAUUUAUUUAAUGGUGCUGAAAGUUAUUCAGCACUAAGUUAGGGUUUAAGUUAAGUUUUACUUCUAAAUUAAAUUAUAUGUGUUAUUUUAUUUUAUUAAGUGCUAUAUUUAUUUUUAGGAACAUAAAAAUUACUCUGAACAUUUGAAGUUGCUGGCUAAUUACAAGUCAUUUGCAGUGGAGACAGCUAUAAGAUUGAAUUCAGUCAUUCUUAAAGUUUGAUUUGUGAUUUUGUCUUUUCUGAUAGAUUUUGUAAUUUUACAUCCAGGAUCUUCAGGAGAAUUAAGCGAAACCCAAACUCCUUGUACUCAACGAAGACCUUCUGUAUGGCGAAGAACAUGAGUCUGCUCCCUCAAGACGAAGAUGUAGUCCUGCAGCUGCUGCUAGUACUCCUCCCUGCUCCACCUUACACAUUUGGGAGAAGUUUCAGACCCAUCAACCUGGAAGUUCAGAAGGCUUCAUUGAUAUCCAGCCUAUCUUUUGUACGGCCAAGUAGAGGAAGGAGCAGCCAUUUUCUCAACAACAUGAAUUUUCUCCCUUAA